GACGAACGCUGGCGGCGCGCCUAACACAUGCAAGUCGAACGGGGUCUUUUUGGAGCUUGCUUUGGGAAGACCUAGUGGCGGACGGGUGAGUAACACGUGAGCAACCUGCCGAGGAGUGGGGGAUAACGUCUGGAAACGGACGCUAAUACCGCAUAAUAUCCAGAAGUGGCAUCACUUUUGGAUCAAAGGAGUAAUCCGCUCUUCGAUGGGCUCGCGCCCGAUUAGAUAGUUGGUGAGGUAAUGGCUCACCAAGUCGACGAUCGGUAGCCGGACUGGGAGGUUGUACGGCCACAUUGGGACUGAGACACGGCCCAGACUCCUACGGGAGGCAGCAGUGGGGAAUAUUGCACAAUGGGGGAAACCCUGAUGCAGCGACGCCGCGUGAAGGAAGAAGUAUCUCGGUAUGUAAACUUCUAUCAGCAGGGAAGAAAGCGUGAGCAAUCACGCCUGACGGUACCUGACUAAGAAGCCCCGGCUAAUUACGUGCCAGCAGCCGCAGUAAUA
rnacentral:rRNA from 1 species